GACGAACGCUGGCGGCGUGCUUAACACAUGCAAGUCGAACGCUGAUGGCCCAGCUUGCUGGGUUGGAUGAGUGGCGAACGGGUGAGUAACACGUGAGUAACCUGCCCUCUUCUUUGGGAUAACGGUCGGAAACGGCUGCUAAUACCGGGUAUUCACUGUCCUUCGCAUGGGGGGUGGUGGAAAGGUUUUUUCUGGUGGGGGAUGGGCUCGCGGCCUAUCAGCUUGUUGGUGGGGUGAUGGCUUACCAAGGCUUUGACGGGUAACCGGCCUGAGAGGGUGACCGGUCACAUUGGGACUGAGAUACGGCCCAGACUCCUACGGGAGGCAGCAGUGGGGAAUAUUGCACAAUGGGCGAAAGCCUGAUGCAGCGACGCCGCGUGAGGGAUGGAGGCCUUCGGGUUGUAAACCUCUUUCGCUCAUGGUCAAGCCGCAACUGUGGUUGUGGUGAGGGUAGUGGGUAAAGAAGCACCGGCUAACUACGUGCCAGCAGCCGCGGUAAUACGUAGGGUGCGAGCGUUGUCCGGAAUUAUUGGGCGUAAAGGGCUUGUAGGCGGUUUGUCGCGUCUGCCGUGAAAUCCUCUGGCUUAACUGGGGGCGUGCGGUGGGUACGGGCAGGCUUGAGUGCGGUAGGGGAGACUGGAACUCCUGGUGUAGCGGUGGAAUGCGCAGAUAUCAGGAAGAACACCGGUGGCGAAGGCGGGUCUCUGGGCCGUUACUGACGCUGAGGAGCGAAAGCGUGGGGAGCGAACAGG
rnacentral:rRNA from 1 species